rnacentral:rRNA from 1 species
UACGGGGGGAGCAAGCGUUGUUCGGAAUUACUGGGCGUAAAGGGCGCGUAGGCGGCCUGCUAAGUCGAACGUGAAAUCCCUGGGCUCAACCCAGGAACUGCGUCCGAUACUGGUUGGCUUGAAUCCGGGAGAGGGAUGUGGAAUUCCAGGUGUAGCGGUGAAAUGCGUAGAUAUCUGGAGGAACACCGGUGGCGAAGGCGGCAUCCUGGACCGGCAUUGACGCUGAGGCGCGAAAGCCAGGGGAGCAAACGGG